rnacentral:rRNA from 1 species
CCUACGGGCGGCUGCAGUGGGGAAUAUUGGGCAAUGGGCGCAAGCCUGACCCAGCAACGCCGCGUGAAGGAAGAAGGCUUUCUGGUUGUAAACUUCUUUUAAGGGGGAAGAGCAUAAGACGGUACCCCUUGAAUCAGCCACGGCUAACUACGUGCCAGCAGCCGCGCUAAUACGUAGGUGGCAAGCGUUGUCCGGAUUUACUGGGUGUAAAGGGCGUGCAGCCGGAGAGACAAGUCAGAUGUGAACUCCACGGGCUCAACCCGUGAACUGCAUUUGAAACUGGUGACCUUGAGUGUCGGAGAGGUAAUCGGAAUUCCUUGUGUAGCGGUGAAAUGCGUAGAUAUAAGGAAGAACACCAGUGGCGAAGGCGGAUUACUGGACGAUAACUGACGGUGAGGCGCGAAAGCGUGGGGAGCAAACAGGAUUAGAUACCCCAGUAGUC